GAUGAACGCUGGCGGCGUGCCUAAUACAUGCAAGUCGAGCGAACGGACGAGAAGCUUGCUUCUCUGAUGUUAGCGGCGGACGGGUGAGUAACACGUGGAUAACCUACCUAUAGGACUGGGAUAACUUCGGGAAACCGGAGCUAAUACCGGAUAAUAUUUUGAACCGCAUGGUUCAAAAGUGAAAGACGGUCUUGCUGUCACUUAUAGAUGGAUCCGCGCUGCAUUAGCUAGUUGGUAAGGUAACGGCUUACCAAGGCAACGAUGCAUAGCCGACCUGAUAGGGUGAUAGGCCACAUUGGAACUGAGACACGGUCCAGACUCCUAAGGGAGGCCGCAGUAGGGAAUCUUACGCAAUGGGCGAAAGCCUGGCGGAGCAGCGCCAAGUGAGUGGUGACGGUCUUGGGAUCGGAAAACUCUGUUACGAGGGAAGAACAGAUGUGUACGUAACUGUGCACAUCGUGACGGUACCUAAUAAGAAAGCCACGGCUAACUACGUG
rnacentral:rRNA from 1 species